GACGAACGCUGGCGGCGUGCUUAACACAUGCAAGUCGAACGGAAAGGCCCUGCUUUUGUGGGGUGCUCGAGUGGCGAACGGGUGAGUAACACGUGAGUAACCUGCCCUUGACUUUGGGAUAACUUCAGGAAACUGGGGCUAAUACCGGAUAGGAGCUCCUGCUGCAUGGUGGGGGUUGGAAAGUUUCGGCGGUUGGGGUUGGACUCGCGGCUUAUCAGCUUGUUGGUGGGGUAGUGGCUUACCAAGGCUUUGACGGGUAGCCGGCCUGAGAGGGUGACCGGCCACAUUGGGACUGAGAUACGGCCCAGACUCCUACGGGAGGCAGCAGUGGGGAAAAUUGCACAAUGGGCGGAAGCCUGAUGCAGCAACGCCGCGUGCGGGAUGACGGCCUUCGGGUUGUAAACCGCUUUCGCCUGUGACGAAGCGUGAGUGACGGUAAUGGGUAAAGAAGCACCGGCUAACUACGUG
rnacentral:rRNA from 1 species